rnacentral:lncRNA from 1 species
UAACCAACUACGACACAGGACGCUAGAGUCCGCCGCAGCGGCUACAACAAAAAAAGAAAGGGACAGUACUACAUAGAUGAUAACAUCCCAGAUAUGGGGUCAGGGCGCGCCCGUCUAGCACUUGAUCUCCUUCAGCCCGUGCGCGAAGUAGAGGAAGGUUGGGUCGGUGGCUCCAUCCUUGUAGUAGGCGAACACCAGGCUUCCAUCAUCAUGCAUGCUCUCGCCAACAAAGCUGCAAAAAACCAGACAAACAUUUAGUACGAGCUAUUCACGGAAUUUAGUUGUGAAGCAAAAUGACAGAAAGCAGCAGUACAAAAAUCAGUAAUAGAACAAUAAUGCAGACAGCACAACCUAUCAUUCUAGCUCGAGCAACACGAAUUUAAACACAAUGGCGAAUAAGAACAUAGAAAGCAAACAUCAAAAAUGGAUGCCACACUGCAAAAGAAUAUAGGUACUUACAACUAAUAUAACAUAUUUUUAAUUAACCCAGAGCAGUACAAAAAUUAUUUUUGCACAAGAGUGUAUGAAAAUAUAUUAUAAUUCAAGCUCCAUGCAGAAUCAUAGGUGAGAAUUCAACGAUAGCACAAGCAACUUGAAUCCAAGUAAUAACAAAAGAAAAUUGCACAAGCAACGUGAAUCUAAGUAACAAAAGAAAACUAUGUGAUUAAAUCCACCGAGGUACAGUUUUCAUGAACAGCUACCAGAAUGGUACUUCAGAGAGAAUCACUAGACACUAGAUAUCAAAUAUAUAGCAUGAUUCGGGUAUAGAACUUACAACUGGAGGUCCUUGAGCUUUCCAAGAAGGUACUUGGUGGCACCCUCAAUGCCCUUCUUGAAUUCCGCUUGCUGCUCCGGCUCCAGCUUGGCAGUAAGGUUCUUGAUGUAGCGCUUCAUGAAGGUCACAAACUGCUUCUUGUCAAAGGCAGGUUGCUCCUGCAAAUGUGAUUACAUGGUUAGUACAAACUCAAAGAACAGAAAUAUAACCAGGGCAACAGAACUCCAGAUGAGUUAGCAACCUGAAGACGGAAGGUGUCAACAAUGUCAACAACCUUCACCGCCUGAUCAUCAACACCCUCAUCAUCGCCACCACCCUCGGCAGACGGGUUGGCACCAAUGUCAACAUCUACAGCUCCUUGGACGACCCACUGCGAGCACCCAUCCAGUAUCAUGAUGUAAGUAACAAAUCAAACAAACCAAAACACAGUAAACAUAAUGCAGAAAGCAAAACAAUCUGGGCAGCAUUACUAAUGCAGAUUCAUCCAGAUUGACAACCGUUUGUAAAAUUAGAGCAUCCAGAAUAAGCAGCAGCCCAUAAGGUUUCAACAAUACCAAGCUUACGGGGCGCUCUAAAGCAACCAACACAAGAUCCCUAGCUGCUAAGAGUAUCGGACUACAAGUUUAAAUUUGCCAACAUGUUGUGCCACAGCAAGCAACUAGGAUGCUGCAGAGUUGCCCAGAUCCUAGUACAAAACCAAAAGGUCAUAGGAUAAUAACUCAAACAAGGUACUGCAACAACCAAUUCUGAAUGAGCGCAUCAGAAACAAAAAAAAAUCAAUCUGAUUGAUGAAUUAGCUGCUCCCUCAAGAAACUAGGAGGACCAUAGAACACAUAAUUCACCUAUUCUAAACGAUCGAUUUGCUGUCCCCACAAACUAAACUGCUGCAGCAUCAAACAAUACGGAUCUAAUGGAGCAUCAAACUAAACAAGCUAUACUGCCGCAUCGAAUAAUCCGGAUCUAAAGCUCAGAGCAAAAAACGAAUUCAGCAAGGUGAGUUUGAUAAAGCUAAAAUCUUGUCUACUGCUGGCCGAUGGAUGCCACAGGGCAGCGGGCGUACCCUGCCGUCGACCUCCCAGAGGAUGCCGUUCUCGAUCUCCCUGUACGGGAACGAGUCCGAGAGGAGCUCGUCGCCUGCAAACAACACCGCAAACGGAUCGAUUAGCCAAUAUACUCGCGGGAAAUCACAACACAAUUCAGUAAAAAAAAAACAGAUGCGGAAACAAAUCCACGCGCAGAUCCACCCAUCCGAGCCCCCCAAAAACGCAAUCUUUCACCCGCGAUUUCGAAUCGGGCAACGGAAGCCGGAGCCUUCAGCUCUCCCUCGGCCGGGCAGAUCUAACCGUGGCGACUCCAAAAAUCCUACUCCCCAAGCCCAAAAACCCACCCCAACCAAAGGACGGAAAAAAAUUCUCAGCAGGGACAUGGGCAUGGUCUUGCACGCACCGGUGAGCAGAUCCUGGUAGACCAACAUGGCGCCGCCUCUCGUGGAGAGAACCCUAGCCUGCGCGAGCAAGGAGACGAGAGCGGGGAGCGGCGGGCGGAGACGAUGGGGCGCGAGG